rnacentral:rRNA from 1 species
GCAAGUUCGAGCGGAAACGAAGUUAUCUGAACCUUCGGGGGACGAUAACGGCGUCGAGCGGCGGACGGGUGAGUAACGCCUAGGAAAUUCGCCCYGAUGUGGGGGAGAACCAUUCGGAGACGAUGGCUAAUACCGCAUGAUGCCUACGGGCCAAAGAGGGGGACCUUCGGGCCUCUCGCGUCAGGAUAUGCCUAGGUGGGAUUAGCUAGUYGGUGAGGUAAGGGCUCACCAAGGCGACGAUCCCUAGCUGGUCUGAGAGGAUGAUCAGCCACACUGGAACUGAGACACGGUCCAGACUCCUACGGGAGGCAGCAGUGGGGAAUAUUGCACAAUGGGCGCAAGCCUGAUGCAGCCAUGCCGCGUGUGUGAAGAAGGCCUUCGGGUUGUAAAGCACUUUCAGUCGUGAGGAAGGUGGUGUAGUUAAUAGCUGCAUUAUUUGACGUUAGCGACAGAAGAAGCACCGGCUAACUCCGUGCCAGCAGCCGCGGUAAUACGGAGGGUGCGAGCGUUAAUCGGAAUUACUGGGCGUAAAGCGCAUGCAGGUGGUUUGUUAAGUCAGAUGUGAAAGCCCGGGGCUCAACCUCGGAAUAGCAUUUGAAACUGGCAGACUAGAGUACUGUAGAGGGGGGGUAGAAUUUCAGGGGUAGCGGUGAAAUGCGUAGAGAUCUGAAGGAAUACCGGUGGCGAARGCGGCCCCCUGGACAGAUACUGACACUCAGAUGCGAAAGCGUGGGGAGCAAACAGGAUUAGAUACCCUGGUAGUCCACGCCGUAAACGAUGUCUACUUGGAGGUUGUGGCCUUGAGCCGUGGCUUUCGGAGCUAACGCGUUAAGUAGACCGCCUGGGGAGUACGUCGCAAGAUUAAAACUCAAUGAAUUGACGGGGCCCGCACAAGCGGUGGAGCAUGUGGUUUAAUUCGAUGCACGCGAGACUUACUACUCUGACAUCAGAGACUUUCAAAAAUGAU